UACGUAGGGGGCUAGCGUUGUCCGGAAUCAUUGGGCGUAAAGCGCGUGUAGGCGGUCCGGUAAGUCCGCUGUGAAAGUCGGGGGCUCAACCCUCGAAUGCCGGUGGAUACUAUCGGGCUAGAGUGCGGAAGAGGCGAGUGGAAUUCCUGGAGUAGCGGUGAAAUGCGCAGAUAUCAGGAGGAACACCAAUUGCGAAGGCAGCUCGCUGGGACGUUACUGACGCUGAGACGCGAAAGCGUGGGGAGCAAACAGG
rnacentral:rRNA from 1 species